rnacentral:rRNA from 1 species
UUUUGUAGGGAAUCUUCCACAAUGAACCAAAGUCUGACGGAGCAACACCACGGGAGUGAUGAUGGUUUUCGGAUCUGACAACUCUGUUGUUAGGAAAGAACAAGUACCUUAGUAACUGCUGGUACCUUGACGGUACCUAACCAUAAAGCCACGGCUAACUACGUGCCAACACCCGCGGUGAUACCUAUGUGGCAAGCUAUGGCCGGAAUUAUUGGCCGUAAAGCUCGUGCAAGCUUGUCUUGAAGUCUGAUGUGUCAGCCCGCGGCUCAACCGUGGAAGUGCAUUGCUAACUGCGGGACUAGAGUACAAAAAAUAGGAGUGUAAUUCCACGUGUAGCAGAGAUAUGCGUAAACAUGUGGAGGAACACCAGUGCCCAGGGCGACUCUUUAGGCUGUAACUGACGCUGAUG